AGCUCAAGUCACUCUUCUCUCCUGUGAUGACUCUCCUGUGUUUGUCGAGCCUGCUGAUGUGGUACUUACUGGAAAGUGAUGUGGACCAGCACUUACCAGCCCCUCAGAGGAAAAGAGCCUCCAAGACCUUUGACCUCUGCAAAGAAUGCAAUAAUACGAUCAUAAAAGUAAUGCAGAAUUACUCCCAAGCCUGGAAGAAGCAGGAGGACAAUUUUAAAAAGUUCAGGUAAAACAAAAAGGUCGUCUUGGUUUUGAACUUUAAGGGGAAAAAAUAAAAGAAGGUAAGAAUUACGUACUUUUAAGUUCCAUGACGCUGGGUGGUAAAGGAGGUCAAAAGGGUAAUAAAACCCAACAUAGUGCCUAAUAAGAUGGCCAAGUGUGAUUAAAAGGUUAAACAGAAUGAAACAUGAAUCACAUUAUAGAACUAUUACCAGUGUUUGGGCCUGUUCCAAAAAAA